rnacentral:rRNA from 1 species
UACGGGGGGAGCAAGCGUUGUUCGGAAUUACUGGGCGUAAAGGGCUCGUAGGCGGCCAACUAAGUCAGACGUGAAAUCCCUCAGCUUAACUGGGGAACUGCGUCUGAUACUGGAUGGCUUGAGAUUGGGAGAGGGAUGCGGAAUUCCAGGUGUAGCGGUGAAAUGCGUAGAUAUCUGGAGGAACACCGGUGGCGAAGGCGGCAUCCUGGACCAACACUGACACUGAGGAGCGAAAGCCAGGGGAGCAAACGGG